rnacentral:rRNA from 1 species
UACAGAGGUCCCGAGCGUUGUUCGGAUUCAUUGGGCGUAAAGGGUGCGUAGGCGGCGGGGCAAGUCUGAUGUGAAAUCCCGGGGCUCAACCCCGGAACUGCAUUGGAUACUGCCUUGCUUGAGUAUGGGAGAGGGAUGUAGAAUUCCAGGUGUAGCGGUGAAAUGCGUAGAUAUCUGGAGGAAUACCGGUGGCGAAGGCGGCAUCCUGGACCAUUACUGACGCUGAGGCGCGAAAGCUAGGGGAGCAAACGGG